UGUGGACUGUGCACUUGGGGCUGUCUUUGUUUGUUUGCAGAUUGGAGUGGAGCAGAAGAAGGAGACUCACAAGCGGAAUGGUGGAGAUAUACUGCAAGACCUGGAGCUCAGGAAGCAGGUUGGCAUGGAGCAUGUGGAGGAACAGGGAAACGCACCUUAGUGUUUCUUUUUCCUGUAAUGGACACACAACAGACAGAAGAAGGAGACUCACAAGAGCAUCUGUGGAAAUUUGUCUGAAAACCGCUGGUUAACAGUUUAUGCAUUUCUGGAGUUCAGCAAGCAUGUAGAGCUCUGUUAGUUGUGUCUUUAUCUUUUCCAGGCUGGAGUGCAGCAUGUGGAGACAAAUAGGAAUCACACACCUCAGCAAUGGACACUGAUGGUCAGGAAUAUCCUUUAAAGGCAGAUGAAUAGGUGCAUGGAUGGAUGUCCUUCCAAGUGGAAGGGGGUGGUGGUGGGCAUAGAUUGUUAGAUAUA